rnacentral:pre_miRNA from 1 species
UCUUAUGGAUGAGCAAAGAAAGUGGUUUCUUGAGAUGGUAUGUACUCCUGGUGAAGAUGCAGUGAGCA